rnacentral:rRNA from 1 species
UAUUAAAGAAUUUCGGUAUGGGAUGGGGAUGCGUUCCAUUAGUUAGUUGGCGGGGUAACGGCCCACCAAGACAACGAUGGAUAGGGGGUUCUGAGAGGAAGGUCCCCCACAUUGGAACUGAGACACGGUCCAAACUCCUACGGGAGGCAGCAG